CAGUCGCCGCGGUAAUACAGAGGGUGCAAGCGUUAAUCGGAAUUACUGGGCGUAAAGCGCGCGUAGGUGGUUUGUUAAGUUGGAUGUGAAAUCCCCGGGCUCAACCUGGGAACUGCAUCCAAAACUGGCAAGCUAGAGUAUGGUAGAGGGUGGUGGAAUUUCCUGUGUAGCGGUGAAAUGCGUAGAUAUUGGAAGGAACACCAGUGGCGAAGGCGACCACCUGGACUGAUACUGACACUGAGGUGCGAAAGCGUGGGGAGCAAACAGGAUUAGAGACCCCUGUAGUCCCUGUCUCUUAUAC
rnacentral:rRNA from 1 species